rnacentral:rRNA from 1 species
AUUGAACGCUGGCGGCAGGCCUAACACAUGCAAGUCGAGCGGAGCGGCGGACGGGUGCGUAAUGACUAUGAAUCUGCAUGGUAGUGGGGGAUAACGUCCGGAAACGGGAGCUAAUACCGAAUACUAUUGGAGAGGCCUGGGUCGGAUUAGCUAGUUGGUGGGGUAAAGCCCUACCAAGGAGAAGAUCCGUAACUGGUCUGAGAGGAUGAUCAGUCCCACUGGAACUGAGACCCGGUCCAGACUCCUACGGGCGGCAGCAGUGGGGAAUAUUGGACAAUGGGCGAAAGCCUGAUCCAGCCAUGCCGCGUGUGUGAAGAAGGUCUUCGGUUUGUAAAGCACUUUAAGUUGGGAGGCGUUACCAGCAGAAUAAGCACCGGCUAACUUCGUGCCAGCAGCCGCGGUAAUAC